ACACACACACACACAACCCUGAAAAUGCCCGAUCUUAUCCGAUCUCAGAAGCUAAGUAGGGUCAGGCCUGGUUAGUACUUGGAUGGGAGACUGCCUGGAAUACCGGAUGCUGUAGGCU
rnacentral:rRNA from 1 species